rnacentral:rRNA from 1 species
AUGUUAAUAGCAUCCUUGCUUGACUAAGGCUCCGGAGGAAGCCACGGCUAACUCUGUGCCAGCAGCCGCGGUAAUACAGAGGCGGCAAGCGUUGUUCGGAAUUAUUGGGCGUAAAGAGCACGUAGGCGGCCGUGUAAGUCGGUUGUGAAAGCCUUCCGCUCAACGGAAGGACGGCAUCCGAUACUGCAUGGCUCGAGUGCGGGAGGGGAGAGUGGAACUUCUGGUGGAGCGGUGAAAUGCGUAGAUAUCAGAAGGAACACCGGCGGCGAAGGUGACUCUCUGGUCCGUAACUGACGCUGAGUGUGCGAAAGCUAGGGGAGCAAACGGGAUUAGAUACCCCGGUAGUCCUAGCCGUAAACGAUGGGCACUAAGUAGAGGGA